GUGAAGAACGCAGUGAAAUGCGAUAAGUAAUGUGAAUUGCAGAGUUCAGUGAAUCAUCGAAUCUUUGAACGCACAUUGCGCCCGUCAGUAUUCUGACGGGCAUGCCUGUCCGAGCGUCAUUUCAACCCUCAAGCACUGCUUGGCGUUGGCGGAUUGCGUGCCCUCGCGGCGCUGCAACCGCCCAAAUACAGUGGCGGUCCCGCUGCGGCUCCCUUUGCGUAGUAACUCACCUCGCACUGGACCGGGCGGCGGCCUGCCGUAAAACCCCAACUCACGAAAUGUUGACCUCGGAUCAGGUAGGAAUACCCGCUGAACUUAAGCAUAUCAAUAAGCGGAGGA
rnacentral:misc_RNA from 1 species